rnacentral:rRNA from 1 species
GAUGAACGCUGGCGGCGUGCCUAAUACAUGCCAGUAGAACGCUGAAGGAAGGAGCUUGCUCUUUCCGGAUGAGUUGCGAACGGGUGAGUAACGCGUAGGUAACCUGCCUGGUAGCGGGGGAUAACUAUUGGAAACGAUAGCUAAUACCGCAUAACAGUAGAUGUUGCAUGAUAUCUACUUAAAAGGUGCAAUUGCACCACUACCAGAUGGACCUGCGUUGUAUUAGCUAGUUGGUGAGGUAACGGCUCACCAAGGCGACGAUACAUAGCCGACCUGAGAGGGUGAUCGGCCACACUGGGACUGAGACACGGCCCAGACUCCUACGGGAGGCAGCAGUAGGGAAUCUUCGGCAAUGGACGGAAGUCUGACCGAGCAACGCCGCGUGAGUGAAGAAGGUUUUCGGAUCGUAAAGCUCUGUUGUAAGAGAAGGACGAGUGUGAGAGUGGAAAGUUCACACUGUGACGGUAUCUUACCAGAAAGGGACGGCUAACUACGUG